GUCAAGCUCGGAAUGCAUGUGCGUGUCAAUCAAAUUAUGGAUGUGAAUUUGUUAAGUGAUCCGUAUAAGACAAAGCGAUUCGCAUGGAUCGUUCGAAAAGUGACAUUUUCUUAUUUAUUUCUCUCUCAGAUGUAAUUCUUGAUGCACGAUUCUACUUUCACUGAUUAUCGCAGUGGUAUUGGUAUCAACGGCACCGCAACCCGGUGGCGGUGAUCACGAACACACCCAUUUCAUCAUCCAUAUGCCACAUCAUAUCCACAAGCAUUAUCACAAGCACGAAAAGAAGAUUUAUAUACCGGCAAAAAAAUCCGACGAUGAUGAUAAGCAUCAUGACCAUCAUUACGAAUAAUGAGCGAUAAAUCAUUUUGUCCCAUGAUUAAAGAACUUAUCGCGGUAAAGUUAUUUAAUCAUGAUUAUAUCACUCGAUGAGAGACGUUUGUUUGUUGUUUUAAAUUGUUAAGUUUGCAAAAUAAAUUAAUAUAUGAUAUA